rnacentral:rRNA from 1 species
GGCAGCUUUCGGUAGCUUUACUGACGCUGAUGCUCGAAGGUGCGGGUAUCGAACAGGAUUAGAUACCCUGGUAGUCCGCACGGUAAACGAUGGACACUCGCUGUUCUGGCUAUUAGUUAGAGCGGCUUAGCGAAAGCGUUAAGUGUCCCACCUGGGGAGUACGCCGGCAACGGUGAAACUCAAAGGAAUUGACGGGGGCCCGCACAAGCGGAGGAACAUGUGGUUUAAUUCGAUGAUACGCGAGGAACCUUACCCGGGCUUGAACUGCAGGAGAAGGAUCUAGAGAUAGUGACGUCCUUCGGGACUCCUGUGGAGGUGCUGCAUGGUUGUCGUCAGCUCGUGCCGUGAGGUGUCGGCUUAAGUGCCAUAACGAGCGCAACCCCUGCCUUUAGUUGCCAUCAGGUAGAGCUGGGCACUCUGGAGGGACUGCCACCGCAAGGUGUGAGGAAGGUUGGGAUGACGUCAAAUCAGCACGGCCUGAACGGCCGUGACUACACACGUGUUACAAUGGGGCAUACAGCGAGUUGGUGUGUGGCAACGCACAUCUAAUCAUGAAAAUGUCUCGUAGUUCGGAUUGGGGUCUGCAACCCGACCCCAUGA